rnacentral:rRNA from 1 species
UCGUGUGUGAGUGCUGGGUCGAGUCGGCCAUCCUUCGUUUAUGGUUAGCUGCUCUUUAUUGAGUGGUUAACUCGUGGACGAUCGUUUACUUUGAAAAAAUUAGAGUGUUUCAAGCAGGCUUUAGCUUUGAAUACAUGAGCAUGGAAUAAUAAAGUAGGACUUCGGUUCUAGUUUGUUGGUUUGGAGAGCUGAAGUAAUGAUGGAUAGGGACAGUUGGGGGUGCUAGUAUUCAGCGGCCAGAGGUGAAAUUCUUGGAUUCGCUGAAGACUCACUACGGCGAAAGCAUUCACCAAGGAUGUCUUCUUUAAUCAAGAACGAAAGUUGGGGGAUCGAAGACGAUCAGAUACCGUUGUAGUCUCAACCAUAAACGAUGCCGACUAGGGAUGAGUGAUCGUUGUUUUUUCGACUUCAUUCGCACCUUAGGAGAAAUCAAAGUCUUUGGGUUCCGGGGGGAGUAUGGUCGCAAGGCUGAAACUUAAAGGAAUUGACGGAAGGGCACCACCAGGAGUGGAGCCUGCGGCUUAAUUUGACUCAACACGGGAAAACUUACCAGGUCCAGACACAGUUAGGAUUGACAGAUUGAAGAUCUUUCUUGAUUCUGUGGGUGGUGGUGCAUGGCCGUUCUUAGUUGGUGGAGCGAUCUGUCUGGUUUAUUCCGUUAACGAACGAGACCUCGACCUGCUAAAUAGUUCGGAUCACAUUUCGAUGUGGUUGCGACACUUCUUAGAGGGACUAUCGG